rnacentral:rRNA from 1 species
UGCGAAUGGCUCAUUAAAUCAGUUAUCGUUUAUUUGAUAGUACCUUACUACUUGGAUAACCGUGGUAAUUCUAGAGCUAAUACAUGCUAAAAACCCCGACUUCGGGAGGGGUGUAUUUAUUAGAUAAAAAACCAACGCCCUUCGGGGCUCCUUGGUGAAUCAUAAUAACUUAACGGAUCGCAUGGCCUUGCGCCGGCGACGGUUCAUUCAAAUUUCUGCCCUAUCAACUUUCGAUUGUAGGGUAUUGGCCUACAAUGGUAUCAACGGGUAACGGGGAAUUAGGGUUCGAUUCCGGAGAGGGAGCCUGAGAAACGGCUACCACAUCCAAGGAAGGCAGCAGGCGCGCAAAUUACCCAAUCCCGACACGGGGAGGUAGUGACAAUAAAUACUGAUACAGGGCUCUUUUGGGUCUUGUAAUUGGAAUGAGUACAAUUUAAAUCCCUUAACGAGGAACAAUUGGAGGGCAAGUCUGGUGCCAGCAGCCGCGGUAAUUCCAGCUCCAAUAGCGUAUAUUAAAGUUGUUGCAGUUAAAAAGCUCGUAGUUGAACCUUGGGUCUGGCUGGCCGGUCCGCCUCACCGCGUGCACUGGUCCGGCCGGACCUUUCCUUCUGGAGAACCGCAUGCCCUUCACUGGGUGUGUCGGGGAACCAGGACUUUUACUUUGAAAAAAUUAGAGUGUUCAAAGCAGGCCUUUGCUCGAAUACAUUAGCAUGGAAUAAUAGAAUAGGACGUGCGGUCCUAUUUUGUUGGUUUCUAGGACCGCCGUAAUGAUUAAUAGGGAUAGUCGGGGGCAUCAGUAUUCAAUUGUCAGAGGUGAAAUUCUUAGAUUUAUUGAAGACUAACUACUGCGAAAGCAUUUGCCAAGGAUGUUUUCAUUAAUCAGUGAACGAAAGUUAGGGGAUCGAAGACGAUCAGAUACCGUCGUAGUCUUAACCGUAAACUAUGCCGACUAGGGAUCGGGCGAUGUUAUUCUUUUGACUCGCUCGGCACCUUACGAGAAA